UACGUAGGGUGCAAGCGUUAAUCGGAAUUACUGGGCGUAAAGCGUGCGCAGGCGGUUGUGCAAGACAGAUGUGAAAUCCCCGGGCUCAACCUGGGAAUUGCAUUUGUGACUGCACGGCUAGAGUGUGUCAGAGGGGGGUAGAAUUCCACGUGUAGCAGUGAAAUGCGUAGAUAUCUGGAGGAACACCGGUGGCGAAGGCGGCAUCCCGGACCAACACUGACGCUGAGGAGCGAAAGCCAGGGGAGCAAACGGG
rnacentral:rRNA from 1 species